GUUGUAUUUUUUUUUUAAAACUCAAGUUCAUGUAUUCAACUUCAUCUUCAUCAUAUACAUUCUCCUCCACCAUGACACUGCAAACUCUCUCGGCUGGCGGCUGCUGCUCUGCAAACUCAACUUCUCCAACAUCCAACCGACGACGGGUGACAACAGAUUCCGUAAUCACGCAUCCCCCGGUCUAUUUUCGGAAUUAUUGGUAAGUAAUUUAUUUUCCCCAAAAUCCGUAGACAACGAGAUGGCAUGUUGGUUCUGUUAUUAACUCGUUUUCCUGUUUUGGAUGAGAUUCAAAUUGGGUUCUUUGUCUAUUUGUUGCUAUAUCUUGAUUCUUGAAGACUCGAACUUUGAAGCGUAUCAUGGAAUUCAUGUUUUUGGUGAAUGAAAUUCUGAAAUUCAUCCAUUAAUGAUUAAUCCUGCCAUCCAUGUUUAACUGAUGAAGUAAUUUAACAGCAAGUUAAUUGAGCAAUUGUUCUAAGGUGAGCUGCGAUGUUACGGAAUGGCUAUGUGCAAACCUCAAAUUAAAGUAACCAAAUAUAGAAGACUUUCAUUACAGAAGGAUAAGGACAUAAUUAUAGGUUAUCUAUGAAUGAUCACACCCGAACAGAAUAUCCCCAAAUCUAACUUCAAAUUCCCCUGCCCUCAACUCCCUCAUCAAAGCAAUGAGGGAUGAUUCAACUCUGCUGGCAUAUGAGGCCUUAUAUAGGUUGGGUUGGAUGAAAAAACCUGAUGCUAACCCUACAUUAAAAGCUGUUGUAAAUAAUCUUUCCUUGCAUCCCAUUGUUCGCCUAAAGGCCGCAGAAUCUCUUGGUGUAUUUGGUUUAGAGACAAGUAUUUUUGGUGUGGUCGGAGUAAAUAAUUAGAAUCUGUUUGUUAUUUUAUUAUUCAGGCACAAGACUUUCUUGUAUCUCAGUUUUUAUAUAUCCAUUUCAACUUGGUUGACCGAUUACUUCACUCUCUAUCUACACAGAUUUCUCUUUAAUUAUUCAUGGUUUAUAAGUGUUUUGAGAUUUCAAAAUUAAUGCUUGCAGAAUUUAUUUUUAGAACACGUUUUGAUUAGCAUUUUCCCUUUUAUUUGUAUUGAUGAUUAGAAUGAGGUUUUACUUAUAUUGAUUUUUCUAUAUACAAUCAAUUAUACACGUCCAUUGCCAAUUUGAUUGGAGAAGUUGCUAUAACCAUACUGAAGGAAUAUGUACAGUUCACUAAAGGCAUGUAUAAAGCUUGACUUUUCUACUUGCAGACAAUAAUGGAUUUUUAAUUUCUUGAGUUCAUAUGGGUAUUCUUUUAUGGUUUUAUGCAAUUUGAUUAGUUGAACUAAGUGUCUUCCUAUUGAACCCAUGCUAAAGGUUAUUAUAAACUCUAUUAAUUAAGAUAUUUGUUUAUGAGGCACGGUGCACCAAUUUUUGAGCCACUUAAAUUUUUGAAAUUUUGCAUUGUGCACCGAUUUAAGUAAUUGAAUUAGAUGUAGAACAUGAGAAAAAUUUGUGUCACUUUUCUUGCCAAUUUAACAUCCUUUUUAAGGCAUAAAAAUUUAAUGCACUGUUUUGUUUAUAAUCCCCCUUUUUUAAUUAUUGGUUAUGGGUGCAUUAAUUAUGGGUUGAAUAGGAUGUGACUUGUGAAUUCUUGAUUUGCAUUCAAUGAUUUUCCAGUAGGCUUUAAUUGUUAAAGUUUACUGGUUGAAUACGUUGUGACUAAUUAUUAUUAAUUAUUAGUUAAAAUAUCUUGUAGGGGCUAUAGACAGAGUUUUGAAUAACAGAGCUUUCUACAAUUCAAAUUGCAAAAAGGUAAGUUCGUAAACGGAAGAUAUGGGGAUUGUGCAUGCAAAUUAGAGUAUGCAUGCAUGCAUGCAUCUUUUAUUUCUCGUGUACGGUUGUGUUAUGUAUCUUGCAUAUUUUUGAUUUUAUGGACUGUUUUAUAUCUCUUGUGGAUUGUGUUUGUAGGAUGAGAUGGGGACUGGUGCAUCCAAAUUUUAAAAUGGAUGUUACCAAAUGAUUUCAUAUAUAGUCAAGACCUAUACAAGACUCAAUAUUUUUUACCAUGUCAACUACCUUCCAAUGUAUGCAGUAAAGAGAAAGAGUUAGCAGCAAAACAUGCUACUUGAAAGUUUGAAUAUGCAAUUCGAGUGAAGAUGGAGCAAAUGAUACAAAACAAGUUGAAGGAAGUUGAGCAACAAUUCAAUUAUACGUUGUGAGAACUAGCACUAGCAGCAUAUCUAUUUCUUUUUUUAAAUGCGUAAUAAUAGAUAUAGAUUAUUUUUGCUACUACUUUUAAGUUUAGAUGUAACCAUACUUAAAGCCCGUUUAAUACCUAUUUUUUUCAAAAUGCAUUUUUCCCUCUCUUCUUUUCAACUACACAUUUUUUAUUAAAAUAAUAUUACACGUAAAUCAAAAAUUUUUCUUUAUUUUUCAACAACAAAUUUUUCAUCAAUUUACUAUUCAAAAAUGUAUUUUUACAUAAAAAUGUCUCCCAAACACCCCCUUAG
rnacentral:lncRNA from 1 species